CAGCCGCGUAAUUCCAGCUCCAAUAGCGUAUAUUAAAGUUGUUGCAGUUAAAAAGCUCGUAGUUGAACUUCGGGAUCAAUUAGUUGGUCAUGCCUUGGUAUGUACUGAUUUUAUUGGUUCUCACCUUCUAAAGAACUAUAAUGUCAUUUAUUUGAUGUUAUAGGGAAUUAGGACUGUUACCUUGAAAAAAUUAGAGUGUUUAAAGCAGGCUCACGCUUGACUACAUUAGCAUGGAAUAAUGAAAUAGGACAUCGCAUUCUAUUUUGUUGGUUUCUAGGAUCGAUGUAAUGAUUAAUAGGGAUAGUUGGGGGCAGUAGUAUUCAAUUGUCAGAGGUGAAAUUCUUGGAUUUAUUGAAGACUAACUACUGCGAAAGCAUUUGCCAAGGAUGUUUUCAUUAAUCAAGAACGAAAGUUAGGGGAUCGAAGACGAUCAGAUACCGUCGUAGUCUUAACCAUAAACUAUGCCGACUAGGGAUCGGAUGAUGUUGAUUUUUUAAUGACUCAUUCGGCACCUUACG
rnacentral:misc_RNA from 1 species